rnacentral:rRNA from 1 species
UACAGAGGGUGCAAGCGUUGUUCGGAAUUAUUGGGCGUAAGGAGCUUGUAGGCGGUUUGUCGCGUCUGCUGUGAAAUUCCAGGGCUUAACCCUGGGCUUGCAGUGGGUACGGGCAGACUAGAGUGUGGUAGGGGAGACUGGAAUUCCUGGUGUAGCGGUGAAAUGCGCAGAUAUCAGGAGGAACACCGAUGGCGAAGGCAGGUCUCUGGGCCACUACUGACGCUGAGAAGCGAAAGCAUGGGGAGCGAACAGG